UGCACCUGGAUACAUAUAUAUGUGUAUAUCAAAUAUACUACUUAUAUGCUUUAAAUCAAUUAUUAAUUAUCUAUAUAUAUAUAUAUAUAUAAAUAUAUACAAGACAUUCUGCAGUAUGAUAAAUUAUAUGCUUACGAGAAUACAUUUAUACCUAUAUACAUAUAUAUAUAUAUAUAUGUAUAUAUACAUGCAUAUGCAUAUAUGCAUAUAUAUAUAUAUGCAUAUAUAUGUGUGUAUGUGUGUGUAUUCUAUACGCAUGCCACGCACACAUAGAGACACACUUGUGUGUGUGUGCGUGUGCUUUUACUUAUGUCUUUGUGUUAAACUUUGUGCAACAAUUUUGUCUGUUAAAUCAAUCAAGAUCUAUGCGUAUGUAUAUAUAUUCCAUAUAUAUAUAUAUAUAUGUAUGUAUAUUGUGUAUACCUAAAUCAAUUACCUAAAUAAAGUGCAAACAAAAUAAACAACAAGCGACAAGUAUUAAACGAAACCACGAAUUUGCUUGUUCUUCAAACUAAUCAGAUCAUCACACACAUACAUACAUGCAUAGAUACACACAUACUCACAUGCACACACACUCACACACACAUCGCACUUAGCGUAAGCCAAUAAUGUGACCAUGGUUGCAAAGUAUUCACUGAACUUUGCAACUGGCUGGUCACACUUAAUACAUUCAGAACAUCCAGAACAAAAUCGGUAAGAGGCAAAAACCAGGAAGAUCUUCAAACAGACAGAGACAGUUGCUUAUAAUCUGAACAUGGAGGUGAGAACUUCAUUUGGUUUCAAAUUAAUUGCAAAAUAUAAACUAGAACGAUUUGAAUAGGAAAACAAAAUAUUAAGGCACCUUUCAAGGACAGCAACAUGUGCUUAUAAUCUGAACAAGGAGGUGCGAUGUGAACUACCUAGUGUCACAUAAUAUGUUAACUGCAAAAUGUAAACUAGAACGAUUUCAACAAGUGUUAAAAACAAUGGAACUUAAAAGACAAAUGCUAUUAAUCUGAGCUGGAGGUGGAGACAUGGAGGUUAAGGCUUACCUACAUACAUUCACACACACACACACACACACACACACACUCAUACCACAUACACACACUCACACGGCUGUUUUAACGGGCGGGUUUGAACCAACAGGCACGCCAACGCAGUUCAAACCGUGUAAAAGUGAAAUGUACCAGAUCGGCGUUACGACUAUACGAGUGUCUCCAUGUUUAGUGUAAACUAAUCGCAUAAUCAAUAACUCGAGGUCAACCGCGUCUACAAAUCGAUUUUGAUCGAUUUUACAGUUUGCCGAAAUCGAUAACAAAUCGAAACGAAGCCGGAAUUUGCCACGCGCCCAGCUAAAAGCUCUCAGAGUUUCAGCUAUUUUUCGGGCAGCAGUUGGCAACACUGUCCAUCGGAUUGUCCACUUACUUUGCGAUAGAAACGUGCGCCGGUCACCUUGUGGAAACCCUUCUUGAACACCGCCUGAUAAUCGUCCGGAUGUGAGAACUUGAACAGAAUGCCCGUCGCCGUCUUCGUCAGGCUGAAGCAGCCCUUGAAGCUCAUCUUCUCGCAUAUCAAGGCGGCCCGCUCCAUGGACAGCUCAUACGAGGGCGUCAGCAGAAAGGCGCCUGCAAGUUCCAGACAAGCUCAA